rnacentral:rRNA from 1 species
CUAGCUAAUACCGCAUACGACCUGAGGGUGAAAGUGGGGGACCGCAAGGCCUCAUGCUAUAGGAGCGGCCGAUGUCUGAUUAGCUAGUUGGUGGGGUAAAGGCCCACCAAGGCGACGAUCAGUAGCUGGUCUGAGAGGACGAUCAGCCACACUGGGACUGAAACACGGCCCAGACUCCUACGGGAGGCAGCAGUGGGGAAUUUUGGACAAUGGGGGCAACCCUGAUCCAGCAAUGCCGCGUGUGUGAAGAAGGCCUUCGGGUUGUAAAGCACUUUUGUCCGGAAAGAAAUCGCACUGGUUAAUACCUGGUGUGGAUGACGGUACCGGAAGAAUAAGGACCGGCUAACUACGUGCCAGCAGCCGCGGUAAUACGUAGGGUCCAAGCGUUAAUCGGAAUUACUGGGCGUAAAGCGUGCGCAGGCGGUUGUGCAAGACCGAUGUGAAAUCCCCGGGCUUAACCUGGGAAUUGCAUUGGUGACUGCACGGCUAGAGUGUGUCAGAGGGAGGUAGAAUUCCACGUGUAGCAGUGAAAUGCGUAGAGAUGUGGAGGAAUACCGAUGGCGAAGGCAGCCUCCUGGGAUAACACUGACGCUCAUGCACGAAAGCGUGGGGAGCAAACAGGAUUAGAUACCCUGGUAGUCCACGCCCUAAACGAUGUCAACUAGUUGUUGGGGAAUCAUUUCCCUAGUAACGUAGCUAACGCGUGAAGUUGACCGCCUGGGAG